GGGGAUUUUGACAAGUGCACGCUGGGGACAGACACCAUGGUGCUGGGGAAUGAGCCCACCCUGUCCCUGAGUUGCGAUGGGGAGCCCAGAGAUGCUGGACAAUGACCUGUGGCCUGCCCCGGGCUCCUCUGGCUCUGGGGGUCCCAACUGCCUGCAGAAGACAGCCAGGAAGUGUGGGUGGCUGGCCAGUCGGAGCAGAGAGGGUCCCCAGUUUCCCCCGCCUGGGGGACAGGCAGUUGGCCCAGUUCAUGGGCUGUUUGGAGGUGGGCUGUUCCGAGGGCUCAGCAGGUGGCUCUGUAAAGCCCCCGUGGGGUCAGUCCCCAUCAGCAUCAGCCUUUGCCACCCCUGGAGGGAUGAUGGGAGCUGAGGCCUGUGUCCACUUCACUGGCUGAAGCCUGUCCUCUCCACCUGUAGAAGGGCCCAGGCACCUUGAGGUUACAGAGGGGACCGACCAACAGGAUGUGGCUCAGUUGCCCCACAGUAGAUGUACUGUGUGCUGCCUGGGCUGUGGCUGUGCCGGGGACCACAAGCACAUGGCCACCCACCGGCACCGCUCAAGGGCUCUCCACGGGUGGGCUCUUUUAAGCCCCUAUUUUGCAGAUGAGGACACUGAGGCUAAGGGGGACUUGUUACCAGAGGUCACACAGCCAGAAAUGUGGACACCCAACAGUGGGCAGGAAGGGGCUG
rnacentral:lncRNA from 1 species